AAAAUUCAUGAAUUGUCAGCCUCGAGGACAAGGCUGAUUUGAAGAGGGCGGGUAUGUUAUGACUCUAGCUAGGAGAGUCCUAAUUGAGAGGGACAUUCAUGUAAAACCUACCUAAGCCGACCCCUAUUAAAGAGGUGAAGAGGCCGUCUAGGGUUAGGAGGUUGUUUCUUAGAGAAGAAUUACGAGUUUUAAAGGAAUAGGAGUCUUGAGUAGAAGUCCUAUUAGGAGUUGGUUAGAAGUAGGAGUCUUGAGUAG
rnacentral:lncRNA from 1 species